rfam:Canis lupus familiaris chromosome 6, whole genome shotgun sequence.
GGGGGGAGGCCAGAUCCUGGGCUGUGUCCCCGGUGCCCUGUGCUCCGAGGCCUGCGCUGUUGGAUUCAUGCUCCUGGCCGGGCAGCCCCCU